rnacentral:rRNA from 1 species
UGGGGAAUAUUGCACAAUGGGCGCAAGCCUGAUGCAGCCAUGCCGCGUGUAUGAAGAAGGCCUUCGGGUUGUAAAGUACUUUCAGCGGGGAGGAAGGCGAUAAGGUUAAUAACCUUGUCGAUUGACGUUACCCGCAGAAGAAGAACCGGCUAACUCCGUGCCAGCAGCCGCGGUAAUACGGAGGGUGCAAUGGUUAAUCGGAAUUACUGGGCGUAAAGCGCACGCAGGCGGUCUGUCAAGUCGGAUGUGAAAUCCCCGGGCUCAACCUGGGAACUGCAUUCGAAACUGGCAGGCUAGAGUCUUGUAGAGGGGGGUAGAAUUCCAGGUGUAGCGGUGAAAUGCGUAGAGAUCUGGAGGAAUACCGGUGGCGAAGGCGGCCCCCUGGACAAAGACUGACGCUCAGGUGCGAAAGCGUGGGGAGCAAACA